UACGAAGGGUGCAAACGUUGCUCGGAAUCAUUGGGCGUAAAGCGCACGUAGGCGGCUUCGCAAGUCGGAUGUGAAAUCCCUCGGCUCAACCGAGGACGUGCAUACGAAACUGCGGAGCUUGAGUGCUGAAGAGGAUCGCGGAAUUCCCGGUGUAGAGGUGAAAUUCGUAGAUAUCGGAAGGAACAUCAGUGGCGAAAGCGACUUCCUGGACCAGUACCGACGUUCAGGCACGAAAGCGUGGGGAGCAAACAGG
rnacentral:rRNA from 1 species